UGGCAGGCGAGUUGAUCGCCCCGGACGAGCGCGUCGUACCCGGUCUGACAAGACGGCGCAGU
rnacentral:ncRNA from 1 species